UGGAGGCAGCAGUGGGGAAUAUUGCGCAAUGGGGGAAACCCUGACGCAGCGACGCCGCGUGGGUGAUGAAGGCCCUCGGGUCGUAAAGCCCUGUCGUAGGGGAAGAACUGGCGGGCGGCUAAUAUCCGCUCGCCUUGACGGUACCCUACAAGAAAGCACCGGCUAACUCCGUGCCAGCAGCCGCGGUAAUACGGAGGGUGCGAGCGUUGUUCGGAAUUACUGGGCGUAAAGCGCGUGCAGGCGGCCGAUUAAGUCCGGUGCGAAAGCCCGGGGCUCACCCCCGGAAGUGCGCUGGAAACUGGUCGGCUAGAGUACGGGAGAAGGAAGCGGAAUUCCUGGUGUAGCGGUGAAAUGCGUAGAUAUCAGGAGGAACACCGGCGGCGAAGGCGGCUUCCUGGACCGAUACUGACGCUGAGACGCGAAAGCGUGGGGAGCAAACAGGAUUAGAUACCCUUGUAGUCCC
rnacentral:rRNA from 1 species